UGACAGCUUGUUGACGGCUCUGCAGAAUUUGGACUUGUGCGCUCCCGCAGUUGCAUCAGUCUACUCUAGCGACAAGUCCAGCUAUCCACCAUUCCAGAAUGCAUCCUGUACCAUCUCGCCUCUGCACCUUUGCUCACGGGUCCUUUCUGCAAGGGAUGCACUUUCUUCCUUCUCCACUUGCUGAAUGUAACAGGAGUCGUGGUGAUUAUUGGUUGAGUUCUUACUACAUUCUCAGCAGCGUUCUAGAGGCUUAGCAGACUAAAUCACCUCGUGCAAGUCUCCUGACAGCCCUGUACUGUUUCUAUUAUUAUUAUUUCUAUAUUACAAAGGAGAAAUACAAAGCACCUAGAAACCCAAGAUUUUACCUUUCUCCAUGAUCCAAUCCCCAUGAGCUUUGGGUAUUUUUUUGUUUUGCCUUAUUUUAGGUUAUGCUCAUUUACGCAGCUUUUUUCUUCUGGUGGUUCAGGUCUGGGUCUGUUCGUGGCCUUUAUCACAACCUGCCUAGUCUGACAACUCUGUGUUGAGCGGACUCGUGAGUUUAGACAGAGAUAUCUCUCAAAGUGUGACCCAGGCACUUUUGGAGUCCCUGAAACCCUUUCAAGCAUCCUGUGAGGUCAAAACUAUUUUUGUAAUACCACUAAGACAUUAUUUGCCUCUAUGACCUGUGAUAUGAAAAUCUGAUUGCCGAAGCAGAUAGAGCACUGGUCUCAUAAAUCCGAUAUUAAAGAGAUGUCUAAAAAUGUAAAAUAAUGCCACACAAUUUUUUUUCAGUUUUGGAAAAUACAGUUAUUUUCAUUAAAAUGUUGUUUAUGUUUA